AGUGGGUGCAGUGGAACUAGGCUUGUAGGGUCUCUCUCUCCCUCCCCCCUUCCUCCCCCGCCGCCGCCGCCGCCGACGAAAAUGUUGGCGGCUCGCCGCCACGCCGCCUCCACCCCCUCUCCGCUCCUCCUCCGGCGCCUCUCCGCCCAGCCGCAACCCAAGGCCCCUCCCCCGCCGUCGGACGAGGGGGCCGCAGCGUGGGCCCGUCGCGCGGUCGCGCUCUCGCUGCUGGGGCUCACCGGCGCCGUCGCCGCCAGCGCCUUCAGCGACCUCUCCGUCUUCCUCUCCUGCUCCAGCCAGGCAAUGGAGAAGGCUACCAAGAACCAGCAGGUAGCGAGCGCGAUCGGCGAGCCCAUCACGCGGGGUCCCUGGUACAGCGCGUCCAUCGCCGUGAACCGCGCGAGGCGCUCCGUCUCCUGCACUUUCCCUGUGUCGGGGCCCCAAGGCGACGGGCUUCUCAAGUUCAAGGCUGUUCGCUUGGGAGAGGAAUCAUGGUUUCGGUUUCUACAGCGCAGCGACUGGGAGAUACUCAUAAUGCACGCCAUCCUUGACGUUCGCACCGAAGAUGGGAAGCACCAAACAAUGAGGGUGAUGGUCGCAGACAACACGGCAGCUCCACCACCACCAGCUGACUGCAGGACAUGCAAGCCCCGUACAACGCCGACACCAAAGCCAAAGCCUACACCAGUGCCGACGCCGAUGCCUACAUCGGCGCCACCUCCGGCUCAGGAGAAGUGAGGAGCUCACCUGGAGAGAUGCUCUUUGGUGGGUGCUCUGGACAUAGCUAGCGUGGAGUGAUUGUUUCGCCACGCCUCAUUCCUGGGAGAGAAAUAAAGUAGUGCGCACUGGACCAACUAAGCAGAAGAUCGGAUUGUUUUCUCGUACGUUGGGCGGAUGAUACAGCCUAGAAUAGGUUACACGGGUGUUUGUUUCGCGGCGCUGGCCAUACUACGAAAUACUGUCUAUCUCACAAGACUAGAACUGCCUUGGGACUUCUAGCAAGGGCAGCAUUUUGAGUGGAUCUCAAAUUCUUUUGUUGGUUCAUUAUUCAUGAUAUCUUAUCUUUUUUUUGCAUGG
rnacentral:rRNA from 1 species